rnacentral:rRNA from 1 species
UACGUAGGUGGCUAGCGUUGUCCGGAUUUACUGGGCGUAAAGAGCGCGCAGGCGGUCGUUCAAGUCGAGUGUGAAAGCCCUCGGCUCAACUGGGGAGGGUCACUCGAUACUGAUCGACUCGAAGGCAGGAGAGGGAAGCGGAAUUCCCGGUGUAGUGGUGAAAUGCGUAGAUAUCGGGAGGAACACCAGUGGCGAAGGCGGCUUUCUGGCCUGCUCUUGACGCUAAGGCGCGAAAGCUAGGGUAGCAAACGGG